rnacentral:rRNA from 1 species
AUUGAACGCUGGCGGCAGGCUUAACACAUGCAAGUCGAGCGGGGUGAUGGUGCUUGCACUAUCACUUAGCGGCGGACGGGUGAGUAGUGCUUAGGAAUCUGCCUAUUAGUGGGGGACAACAUCUCGAAAGGGAUGCUAAUACCGCAUACGUCCUACGGGAGAAAGCAGGGGAUCACUUGUGACCUUGCGCUAAUAGAUGAGCCUAAGUCGGAUUAGCUAGUUGGUGGGGUAAAGGCCUACCAAGGCGACGAUCUGUAGCGGGUCUGAGAGGAUGAUCCGCCACACUGGGACUGAGACACGGCCCAGACUCCUACGGGAGGCAGCAGUGGGGAAUAUUGGACAAUGGGGGGAACCCUGAUCCAGCCAUGCCGCGUGUGUGAAGAAGGCCUUAUGGUUGUAAAGCACUUUAAGCGAGGAGGAGGCUCUUUUGGUUAAUACCCAAGAUGAGUGGACGUUACUCGCAGAAUAAGCACCGGCUAACUCUGUGUCAGCAGCCGCGGUAA